rnacentral:rRNA from 1 species
AUUGAACGCUGGCGGAAUGCUUUACACAUGCAAGUCGAACGGCAGCACGGACUUCGGUCUGGUGGCGAGUGGCGAACGGGUGAGUAAUGUAUCGGAACGUGCCCAGUCGUGGGGGAUAACGUAGUGAAAAUUACGCUAAUACCGCAUACGAUCUAUGGAUGAAAGCGGGGGAUCGCAAGACCUCGCGCGAUUAGAGCGGCCGAUGCCUGAUUAUCUAGUUGGUGGGGUAAAAGCCCACCAAGGCGACGAUCAGUAGCUGGUCUGAGAGGACGAUCAGCCACACUGGGACUGAGACCCGGCCCAGGCUCCUACGGGAGGCAGCAGUGAGGAAUUUUGGACAAUGGGGGCAACCCUGAUCCAGCAAUGCCGCGUGAGUGAAGAAGGCCUUCGGGUUGUAAAGCUCUUUUGUCAGGGAAGAAACACCGGCUCUAACACAGUCCGGGAAUGACGGUACCUGAAGAAUAAGCACCGGCUAACUACGUGCAAGCAGCCGCCGUAA